CGACCCCAGGUCAGGCGGGGCUACCCGCUGAGUUUAAGCAUAUCAAUAAGUGGAGGAGAAGAAACUUAUGAGGAUUCCCUUAGUAAAGGUGAGCGAACCAGGAAAAGCCCAGCUUAAGAAUCAGGUGGAUUUGUCGUUUGAAUUGUAGUCUAUAGAAGCGCCUCAGAGAUGGACCGGGCCCAAGUCCCCUAGAAGGGGGCACCAGAGAGGGUGAGAGCCCCGUCGUGUUUGGAUCCUGUUGCUCCACAAGGCGCUAUCGGGGAGUUGGGUUGUUUGGGAAUACAACCCCAAUUGAGCGGUAAAUUCUGUCCAAGGCUAAAUAUGGGCGAGAGACCGAUAGUGAACAAGUACUGCGAGGGAAAGAUGAAAAGGACUUUGAAAAGAGAGUCAAAGGGUGCUUGUAAUUGUUGGGAGGGAAGCGGAUGGGGGCUGAUGUGGAUUGUGGUGGCAUAUCAAGCCCGGGUUGUCGUGUUAUGCCUGAGGAGAUGUCAUCACCAUGAUCGUGGUAGGUAACGUGCACCUCGAUGGCGUGCCUAUUGGCAACUGCAUACUCCAGGCAUCGGCCUAUCGGGCUCCCCAUUCGACUCGUCUUAAAACAUGGACCAAGGAGUCUAACAUGUGUGCGAGUCAAUGAGCGAGUAAAACUCGUAAAGAGUAAGGAAGCUAAUUGGUGGGAUCCCCUUGUGGGUUGCACCAUCGACCGACCUUGAUCUUCUGUGAAGGGUUCGAGUGAGAGCAUACCUAGCAGGACCCAAAAGAUGGUGAACUAUGCCUAAGCAGGGCCAAGCCAGAGGAAACUCUAGUGGAGGCCCGUAGCGAUACUGACGUGCAAAUCAUUCGUCUGACUUGGGAAUAGGGGCAAAAGACUAAUCGAACUGUCUAGUAGCUGAUUCCCUCUGAAGUUUCCCUCAAGAUAGCUAGAGCCCACGGGCGAGUUCUAUCGGGUAAAGCCAGUGAUUAGAGGCAUCGGGGGUGCAACACCCUCGACCUAUUCUCAAACUUUAAAUAGGUAGGAUGGCAUGGAUGCUUCGUUGAGCCACGCCAUAGAAUCGAGAGCUCCAAGUGGGCCAUUUUUGGUAAGUAGAAUUGGCGAUGCGAGAUGAACUGAAAGCCAGGUUAUGGUGCUGGAUUGUGCUCUAACCUAGAACCCACAAAGGGUGCUGGUCGAUUUAGAUAGCAAGAUGGUGGUCAUGGAAGCCGAAAUCCUCUAAGGAGUGUGUAACAACUCACCUAUCGAAUCAAAUAGCCCCAAAAAUGGAUGGCACUGAAGUGUGUAACCAAUACCCGACCGUUGGGGCAACUGCCAGGCCCUGAUGAGUAGGAGGGCAUGGCGUCAUCGUAAAACCUGGGGCAUAAGCUCGGGCGGAGCGACCGUCGGUGCAGAUCUUGGUGGUAGUGGCAAAUAUUGAAAUGAGAACUUUGAAGGCCAAAGAGGGGAAAGGUUCUAUGUGAAUAGCACUUGCACAUGGGUUAGUCAAUCCUAAGGGAUGGGGGAAGCCCGACAGAGAGCGUGUACACACCCGUGCUCCAAAAAGGAAUCAGGUUAAAAGUCCCAAACCGAGACGUGGCGGUUGACGACAAUAUUAGGAUGUCCGGAGACAUCAACGGGGGCCUCAGGAAGAGUUAUCUUUCCUAUUUAACAGCCUUCCCACUCAAGAAAUGGCUUAGCCGGAGGUAGGGUCCAGUAGCUAGAAGAGCAUCGCACAUCACGUGGUGUCUAGUGCACCCCCGGCGGCCCUUAAAAAUCUAGAGGACCAAGUGUCGACCACGCCCGGUCGUACUGAUAACCACAUCAGGUCUCCAAGGUGAACAACCUCUGAUUGAUGGAACAAUGUAGGUAAGGGAAGUCGGUAAAAUAGAUCCGUAACCUCAGGAAAAGGAUUGGCUCUGAGGGCUGGGCACGGUGUCCCUGUCUCGAACCCAUCAACUGUCGAUGGACUGCUCAAGCUACUUUCACCGUGAGAGCGGGUCGCUACAUGGGGGGCUUCCCUAGGCGUCGAACAGUCUACUCAGAACUAGUAUGGACAAGGGGAAUCCGACUGUUUAAUUAAAACAAAGCAUUGCGAUGGUCCUUGCGGAUGCUCAUGUAAUGUGAUUUCUGCCCAAUGCUUAGAAUGUUAAAGAGAAGAAAUUCAACUAAGCGCGGUAAAAGGUGGGAGUAACUAUGACUCUCUUAAGGUAGCCAAAUGCAUCGUCAUCUAAUUAGUGACGCGCAUGAAUAGAUUAAUGAGAUUCCCACUAUCCCUAUCUACUAUCCAGUGAAACCACAGCCAAGGGAACGGGCUUGGCAGAAUCAGCGAGGAAAGAAGACCCCAUUGAGCUUGACUCUAGUCUAACUUUGUGAAAUAACUUGAGAGGUGUAGGAUAAGUGGGAGCUGGAGUGAAAUACCACUACUUUUAACGUUAUUUUACUUACUCCGUGAGUCAGAGGCGGGGCUUUUCCCGUCCUUUUGGACCCAAGGCCCACCUCGAUGGGUCGAUACGGGCAGAGGACAUUGUCAGAUGGGAGUUUGGCCGGGGUGGCACAUCUAUUAAAAGAUAAUGCAGGUGUCCUAAGAUGAGCUCAACGAGAACAGAAAUCUCGUGUGGAACAAAAGGGUAAAAGCUCGUUUGAUUCUGAUUUCCAAUAUGAAUACGAACUGUGAAAGCGUGGCCUAUCGAUCCUUUAGACCUUCGAAAUUUGAAGAUAGAGGUGUCAGAUAAGUUACCACAAAGAUAACUGGCUUGUGGCAGCCUAGCAUUCAUAACGACUUUGCUUUUUUAUCCUUCGAUGUUGGCUCUUCCUAUCAUUGCGAAGCAGAAUUUGCCAAGUGUUGGAUUGUUCAUCCACUAAUAAGGAACGUGAGCUGGGUUUAGAUCGUCAUGAGACAAGUUAGUUUUACCCGACUGAUGGCAGUGUUGCGAUAGCAAUUCAACCUAGUACGAGAGGAACUGUUGAUUCACAUAAUUGGCCAUCGCGCUUGGUUGAAAAGCCAGUGGCUGCGAAGCUACCAUGUGAUGGAUUAUGACUGAACACCUCUAAGUCAGAAUCUAGGCUAAAGAAGCAACGCUUGUGCCCGUCGACCAUUUUCCAACUUGCAGUAGGGGCCCUCCAACUCCUAAAGGCACGUGUCGUUGGCCAAGCCCCCGCAAUAGACAUGCUGUGUGGGCUGCCUUAAAGUGUAAUUCCUAUUGGGCGAUGGGUAGAAUCCUUUGCAGACGGCUUAAACACGCGACGGGGUAUUGUAAGUGGUAGAGUGGCAUUGCUGCCAUGAUCUACUAAGAUUCAGCCCCGUGUCACAUCCAUUCGU